UAGAAAUGCAGCACUAGUACGGGUACGCAUCCGACGCCUCUCGAAGGUUACCUAGGAUCUCCGUACCCUGCUCCUACUCAAAACGUCCCCGACGUACAGAACGGUAACAUGUCUUUCCGUGAGCGUGGGUAUACGGGGAAACCCAACCCCUUGGGAGGAUGGAAGACAUGGUCAAUUUGAGAGGA
rnacentral:ribozyme from 1 species